UACAGAGGUCCUGAGCGUUGUUCGGAUUCAUUGGGCGUAAAGGGUGCGUAGGCGGUUUGCUAAGUUUGAUGUGAAAUCCCGGGGCUCAACCCUGGAAUUGCAUUGAAUACUGGCGGACUAGAGUCCUGGAGAGGAAACUGGAAUUUACGGUGUAGCAGUGAAAUGCGUAGAGAUCGUAAGGAAGACCAGUGGCGAAGGCGAGUUUCUGGACAGGUACUGACGCUGAGGCACGAAGGCCAGGGGAGCAAACGGG
rnacentral:rRNA from 1 species